rnacentral:rRNA from 1 species
UACGUAGGGUGCGGGCGUUACUCGGAAUUACUGGGCGUAAAGUGUGCGCAGGCGGUUGAGGAAGUCGCGUGUGAAAGCCCCGGGCUUAACUUGGGAAUUGCGCUCGAAACUACUUGACUGGAGUGUGGCAGAGGAAGGUGGAAUUCCACGUGUAGCGGUGAAAUGCGUAGAGAUGUGGAGGAACACCAAUGGCGAAGGCAGCCUUCUGGGCCAACACUGACGCUCAUGCACGAAAGCGUGGGGAGCAAACAGG